GCCUGCCCAGUGAACACAUUAAACGGCCGCGGUAUCCUAACCGUGCAAAGGUAGCACAAUCACUUGUUCUUUAAAUGAGGACCAGUAUGAAUGGCAUCAUGAGGAUCAACUUGUCUCUCAAAAUAAGUCAAUGAAACUGCUCUCCCAGUACAAAAGCUGAGAUAGACCCACAAGACGAGAAGACCCUGUGGAGCUUCAAACUACAACCCACACCACAUGGCACUGCAGUUUUUAGUUGGGGCGACUUUGGAGAAAAAAGAAACCUCCAAAUUAUUUUUAGGCUGACAGGCCUAAAUCUUUACACAAUUGACCCAAUAUAUUUGCUCAAUGAACCAAGUUACCCCAGGGAUAACAGCGCAAUCUUCUCCUAGAGUUCCUAUCGACAAGAAGGUUUACGACCUCGAUGUUGGAUCCGGAUAUCCAAAUAGUGCAGCCGCUAUUAAAGGUUCGUUUGUUCAACGAUUAAAAUCCCACGUGAUCUGAGUUCAGACCGG
rnacentral:rRNA from 1 species